CUGUAUAUCAGUAAUGAUGACUGCUCAAAUUAUUAUUAAAUGGACACUCUUGGGAGCUCGCUCGCAGAUAAGUAAAUGUAAAAAAAGUGUCGCCUUAAAAUGAGGUAUAGUAUUUGAUUAACGAUGGGAUUGCAUGGAGAUACUUUUCAAAGAGGGAUCCGCUUAAUUAAGAGAGGUGUGUGUUGAAAGGGGUUCAACUGUACUUCUUAACUUUCAGUUUCAUUGAUUUCUUAAAUUAACUAUCACCAUAUCCUUAACCUAUUGAGCACAAGCGCUGUUCCCUUCACAAAUAAAAUCGUCUGGCGUUAGACAGUCAAGUAAAAUAAUAAAGUAGGCACAUUGGGGAGCAUUGCAACCUAAUGGGUUAACUACAAUCCUGGUCAAAAAUGUUGGCGCACUUGACACUGACUGUGCGAAAUUUGCCUCCCACAUCAAUAAAAAGCAUAGCAACCCCCCUCCCCCCCGUUCAAUGUUGUGUGUAGUGUGUUAUACGUCCAAGGUGUUACACAACAUUGAUAAGGGGGAUAGAGCUGUUUGGACAUGAAAUUUUGCAUAAAAUGGGCAAGUA